GACAGAGGGUGCAAACGUUGUUCGGAAUUACUGGGCGUAAAGCGCGUGUAGGCGGCCCGAAAAGUUGGAUGUGAAAGCCCUGGGCUUAACCUAGGAAGUGCAUUCAAAACUGUCGGGCUUGAGUUAUGGAGAGGAAGGCGGAAUUCUCGGUGUAGAGGUGAAAUUCGUAGAUAUCGAGAGGAACACCGGUGGCGAAGGCGGCCUUCUGGACAGUGACUGACGCUGAGACGCGAAAGCGUGGGGAGCAAACAGG
rnacentral:rRNA from 1 species